CAAGCCAAUUAUUACUUAACUUACACAUGCAAGUAUCCGCACCCCUGUGAGAACACCCUUCAACCCCUUUAAGGGGCAAGGAGUCGGUAUCAGGCACAAAUUUUAGCCCAAGACACCUAGCCAGGCCACACCCACAAGGGAACUCAGCAGUGAUUAACAUUGAAUAUAAGCGACAGCUUGACUCAGUUAAAGUAAAAAAGAGCCGGCUAAUCUGGUGCCAGCCGCCGCGGUUACACCAUGUGGCUCAAAUUGACUAAGCUCGGCGUAAAGCGUGAUUAAAGAACAAUUUUUUGGUGUCAAAAAUAUACUAAGCUGUGACACGCUUGUACUCUAAAAGACCAAAGACGAAAGCUACACCAACUAAAACAACUUGA
rnacentral:rRNA from 1 species